UACGAAGGGGGCUAGCGUUGUUCGGAAUUACUGGGCGUAAAGCGCACGUAGGCGGGUUGUUAAGUCAGGGGUGAAAUCCUGGAGCUCAACUCCAGAACUGCCUUUGAUACUGGGAAGCUUGAGUCCGGGAGAGGUGAGUGGAACUCCGAGUGUAGAGGUGAAAUUCGUAGAUAUUCGGAAGAACACCAGUGGCGAAGGCGGCUCACUGGCCCGGUACUGACGCUGAGGUGCGAAAGCGUGGGGAGCAAACAGG
rnacentral:rRNA from 1 species